rnacentral:rRNA from 1 species
GACAGAGGAUGCAAACGUUGCUCGGAAUUACUGGGCGUAAAGCGCGCGUAGGCGGCUUUGCAAGUCGGGUGUGAAAUCCCCAGGCUUAACCUGGGAGCUGCAUUCGAGACUGCAUUGCUAGAGUAUGGGAGAGGGAAGUGGAAUUUCCGGUGUAGCGGUGAAAUGCGUAGAUAUCGGAAGGAACAUCAGUGGCGAAAGCGACUUCCUGGACCAAUACUGACGCUCAUGUGCGAAAGCGUGGGGAGCAAACAGG